rnacentral:rRNA from 1 species
GGGUUGUGAGGUUAAGCGACUAAGCGUACACGGUGGAUGCCCUGGCAGUCAGAGGCGAUGAAGGACGUGCUAAUCUGCGAAAAGCGUCGGUAAGGUGAUAUGAACCGUUAUAACCGGCGAUGUCCGAAUGGGGAAACCCAGUGCAAUUCGUUGCACUAUCGUUAACUGAAUACAUAGGUUAACGAGGCGAACCGGGGGAACUGAAACAUCUAAGUACCCCGAGGAAAAGAAAUCAACCGAGAUUCCCCCAGUAGCGGCGAGCGAACGGGGAGCAGCCCAGAGUCUGAAUCAGCUUGUGUGUUAGUGGAACGGUCUGGAAAGUCCGACGGUACAGGGUGAUAGUCCCGUACACCAAAAUGCACAGGUUGUGAACUCGAAGAGUAGGGCGGGACACGUGGUAUCCUGUCUGAAUAUGGGGGGACCAUCCUCCAAGGCUAAAUACUCCUGACUGACCGAUAGUGAACCAGUACCGUGAGGGAAAGGCGAAAAGAACCCCGGCGAGGGGAGUGAAAAAGAACCUGAAACCGUGUACGUACAAGCAGUGGGAGCACCUUCGGGUGUGACUGCGUACCUUUUGUAUAAUGGGUCAGCGACUUAUAUUCUGUAGCAAGGUUAACCGUAUAGGGGAGCCGCAGGGAAACCGAGUCUUAACUGGGCGUUAAGUUGCAGGGUAUAGACCCGAAACCCGGUGAUCUAGCCAUGGGCAGGUUGAAGGUUGGGUAACACUAACUGGAGGACCGAACCGACUAAUGUUGAAAAAUUAGCGGAUGACUUGUGGCUGGGGGUGAAAGGCCAAUCAAACCGGGAGAUAGCUGGUUCUCCCCGAAAGCUAUUUAGGUAGCGCCUCGUGAACUCAUCUUCGGGGGUAGAGCACUGUUUCGGCUAGGGGGUCAUCCCGACUUACCAACCCGAUGCAAACUACGAAUACCGAAGAAUGUUAUCACGGGAGACACACGGCGGGUGCUAACGUCCGUCGUGAAGAGGGAAACAACCCAGACCGCCAGCUAAGGUCCCAAAGUCAUGGUUAAGUGGGAAACGAUGUGGGAAGGCACAGACAGCCAGGAUGUUGGCUUAGAAGCAGCCAUCAUUUAAAGAAAGCGUAAUAGCUCACUGGUCGAGUCGGCCUGCGCGGAAGAUGUAACGGGGCUAAACCAUGCACCGAAGCUGCGGCAGCGACACUAUGUGUUGUUGGGUAGGGGAGCGUUCUGUAAGCCUGCGAAGGUGACCUGUGAGGGUUGCUGGAGGUAUCAGAAGUGCGAAUGCUGACAUAAGUAACGAUAAAGCGGGUGAAAAGCCCGCUCGCCGGAAGACCAAGGGUUCCUGUCCAACGUUAAUCGGGGCAGGGUGAGUCGACCCCUAAGGCGAGGCCGAAAGGCGUAGUCGAUGGGAAACAGGUUAAUAUUCCUGUACUUGGUGUUACUGCGAAGGGGGGACGGAGAAGGCUAUGUUAGCCGGGCGACGGUUGUCCCGGUUUAAGCAUGUAGGCUGGUUAUCCAGGCAAAUCCGGAUAAUCAAGGCUGAGGUGUGAUGACGAGGCACUACGGUGCUGAAGUAACAAAUGCCCUGCUUCCAGGAAAAGCCUCUAAGCAUCAGGUAACAUCAAAUCGUACCCCAAACCGACACAGGUGGUCAGGUAGAGAAUACCAAGGCGCUUGAGAGAACUCGGGUGAAGGAACUAGGCAAAAUGGUGCCGUAACUUCGGGAGAAGGCACGCUGGUGUGUAGGUGAAGCCCCUGCGGGUGGAGCUGAGACCAGUCGAAGAUACCAGCUGGCUGCAACUGUUUAUUAAAAACACAGCACUGUGCAAACACGAAAGUGGACGUAUACGGUGUGACGCCUGCCCGGUGCCGGAAGGUUAAUUGAUGGGGUUAUCCGUAAGGAGAAGCUCUUGAUCGAAGCCCCGGUAAACGGCGGCCGUAACUAUAACGGUCCUAAGGUAGCGAAAUUCCUUGUCGGGUAAGUUCCGACCUGCACGAAUGGCGUAAUGAUGGCCAGGCUGUCUCCACCCGAGACUCAGUGAAAUUGAACUCGCUGUGAAGAUGCAGUGUACCCGCGGCAAGACGGAAAGACCCCGUGAACCUUUACUAUAGCUUGACACUGAACAUUGAGCCUUGAUGUGUAGGAUAGGUGGGAGGCUUUGAAGCGUGGACGCCAGUCUGCGUGGAGCCAACCUUGAAAUACCACCCUUUAAUGUUUGAUGUUCUAACGUUGGCCCCUGACCGGGGUUGCGGACAGUGUCUGGUGGGUAGUUUGACUGGGGCGGUCUCCUCCCAAAGCGUAACGGAGGAGCACGAAGGUUAGCUAAUCCUGGUCGGACAUCAGGAGGUUAGUGCAAUGGCAUAAGCUAGCUUGACUGCGAGCGUGACGGCGCGAGCAGGUGCGAAAGCAGGUCAUAGUGAUCCGGUGGUUCUGAAUGGAAGGGCCAUCGCUCAACGGAUAAAAGGUACUCCGGGGAUAACAGGCUGAUACCGCCCAAGAGUUCAUAUCGACGGCGGUGUUUGGCACCUCGAUGUCGGCUCAUCACAUCCUGGGGCUGAAGUAGGUCCCAAGGGUAUGGCUGUUCGCCAUUUAAAGUGGUACGCGAGCUGGGUUUAGAACGUCGUGAGACAGUUCGGUCCCUAUCUGCCGUGGGCGCUGGAGAAUUGAGGGGGGCUGCUCCUAGUACGAGAGGACCGGAGUGGACGCAUCACUGGUGUUCGGGUUGUCAUGCCAAUGGCACUGCCCGGUAGCUAAAUGCGGAAGAGAUAAGUGCUGAAAGCAUCUAAGCACGAAACUUGCCCCGAGAUGAGUUCUCCCUGAGACUUUAAGUCUCCUGAAGGAACGUUAAAGACGAUGACGUUGAUAGGCCGGGUGUGUAAGCGCAGCGAUGCGUUGAGCUAACCGGUACUAAUGAACCGUGAGGCUUAACCUUACAACGCCGAAG